rnacentral:rRNA from 1 species
GACGAACGCUGGCGGCGUGCUUAACACAUGCAAGUCGAACGGAAAGGCCCUGCUUGCAGGGUACUCGCGUGGCCAACGGGUGAGUAACACGUGGGUGAUCUGCCCUCCACUUCGGGUUAAACCUGGUAAACUGGGUCUAAUACCUGCCAGGUGCUAUUUUUAGUCUGAUGGUUGGAAAGUUUUUUCGGUGUAGGAUGAGCUUGCGGCCUAUCAGCUUGCUGGGGGGGUAAUGGCCUACCAAGGCGGCGACGGGUAGCCGGCCUGAGAGGGUGGACAGCCACAUUGGGACUGAGAGACGGCCCAGACUCCGACGGGAGGGAGCAGGGGGGAAGAGUGAACAAGGGGCGCAAGCCUGAUGCAGCGACGCCGCGGGGGGGAUGACGGCCUUAGGGGUGUAAAAUCCUUGCGCUAGGGACGAAGCUUUUUGUGACGGUACCUAGAGAAGAAGCACCGGCUAACUACGUG